rnacentral:rRNA from 1 species
UACGUAGGGGUGCGAGCGUUUAAUCGGAAUUACUGGGCGUAAAGCGUGCGCAGGCGGUUUUGUAAGCCAGAUGUGAAAAUCCCCGGGCUUAACCUGGGAAUGGCAUUUGGGGACUGCAAGGCUGGAGUUUGGCAGAGGAGACUGGAAAUUCCCGGUGUAGCAGUGAAAUGCGUAGAUAUCGGGAGGAAUACCGAUGGCGAAGGCAGGUCUCUGGGCUAUAACUGACGCUCAUGCACGAAAGCGUGGGGAGCAAACAGG